rnacentral:tRNA from 1 species
GCCCCGGUAGCUCAGCCCGGUAGAGCGCCCGCCUCGUAGUGGUAAUCCACGGGUGAGCGGAAGGUCCCGGGUUCGAAUCCCGGCCGGGGCU